rnacentral:rRNA from 1 species
GUGGGGAAUAUUGGACAAUGGGCGAAAGCCUGAUCCAGCCAUGCCGCGUGUGUGAAGAAGGUCUUCGGAUUGUAAAGCACUUUAAGUUGGGAGGAAGGGUAGUAACCUAAUACGUUGCUACUUUGACGUUACCGACAGAAUAAGCACCGGCUAACUUCGUGCCAGCAGCCGCGGUAAUACGAAGGGUGCAAGCGUUAAUCGGAAUUACUGGGCGUAAAGCGCGCGUAGGUGGUUCAGUAAGUUGGAAGUGAAAUCCCCGGGCUCAACCUGGGAACUGCUUUCAAAACUGCUGAGCUAGAGUACGGUAGAGGGUGGUGGAAUUUCCUGUGUAGCGGUGAAAUACGUAGAUAUAGGAAGGAACACCAGUGGCGAAGGCGACCACCUGGACUGAUACUGACACUGAGGUGCGAAAGCGUGGGGAGCAAACAGGAUUAGAUACCCGGGUAGUCC